rfam:Bifidobacterium callitrichos DSM 23973 Contig11, whole genome shotgun sequence.
CGGUGCGGAUUUGCUGCGGGGAGAUGAAGUGGAUGUGCGUGUCGAGGCCGCCCGCCGUGACGAUCAGGCCCUCGCCGGCGAUCGCCUCGGUGCCCGAGCCGACUUCGAGGCCGGGGGUGACGCCGCUCAUGGUCUGCGGGUUGCCGGCCUUGCCGAUCGCGCUGAUCUUGCCGUUUUUCAGGCCGAUGUCUGCCUUGUAGAUGCCGGUCCAGUCGACGAUCAGCGCGUUGGUGAUGACGGUGUCGGGCGAUUCGGCGUCGAGCUGGACGCUGGACUGGCCCAUGCCGUCGCGG